GAUAAAAAAGUAUUAACGUUUAAUUUCCAAUUAAAAAUAUUCAUAUUUUUUUUUUA
rnacentral:tRNA from 1 species